rnacentral:rRNA from 1 species
CAAGUCCUCAUGGCCCUUAUAGGUGGGCUACACACGUCAUACAAUGGCCGGUACAGAGGGUAGCCAACCCGCGAGGGGGGAAGCCAAUCCCACAAAGCCGGUCGUAGUCCGGAUCGCAGUCUGCAACUCGACUGCGUGAAGUCGGAAUCGCUAGUAAUCGCGGAUCAGCAUGUCGCGGUGAAUACGUUCCCGGGUCUU